rnacentral:lncRNA from 1 species
CAAAUGCCUCUUAAUUUUGAUCUAGACUCAAAGCCCAUGUCUUAAAGUUCUCUUCUGAGUCGGCAGCCUCUUCUCUACCAAUGUCUUCUCUGGGUAACCAUUCCACACUCAUUAGUUUAUGAAUUUAAGCAAAAAAUGAAUUCAUAUUUAUCUGUCUUGCUAUUCAAAAUGCUUCUUAGAGGUCGAGGACUCUUUCUUUGAUGUCUUCUGUAGGGUGAAUAUCACUUUGUCUUUUUAGGCAACAUCUCAUUGAAUUAGGAAAAAUUAAAAACUGUAUGUUGCAUGUAUAUUAGUCAUCUAGCUACCACUCAAAACAGUGAAUGAUUUAUUUAUUUAAAGCAUAUCAAUGAUCCUUUUUCUGCAGUGAGUCUUAUAUUUUUCAACCUUCUUAAAGUGUUCUGAACAGGAUCUAAUCUUUACAUAAUGAUUCCCUGAUCGUCGUUCUUGUGUUAGUUUCCUAGCGCUCCUGUAACAAAGUACCACAAACGGGUGGGGGGGACCUGAAAAAACAGAAAUGUAUCAUGUCAGAGUUCUGGUGGCCAGAAGACAAAAAUCAAAGUGGCAACAGGGUUGAUUUCUUCUGAAGACUGUGAGAGAGAAUCUGUUCCCUGCCUCUUGCCUCACUUCUGAUGGGUUGCUGACAAUCUCUGGUGUUCUUUGGCUUGUAGAAGUCUCUCUCUGAUCUCUGCCGUCAUCUUCACAUGGUGUUCUCCCUGUGUGCAUGUCUGUGAUGAAAUUCUCCCUUUUUUUAAGGACACCAGUCCUUAAAAAUUAAUUAAAUUGGGGCCCCACCCUCCCUGUGACCUCAUCUUAACUAAUUAUAUCUGCAAUGACCUGUUUCCAAAUAAGAUCACAUUCUGAGGUAUUGGGGGUUGGGACUGUAACAUAUGAAUUUUGAAGGGACAUAAUUCAACCCAUAACGAUUAUGAACACUAUUUUUGUGUAGAGCUCCACCACGUUGAUUUCUGUGGGACUCAAUUAUAAACACACUUGCAAGCCGUACAUAAUUCUCAGCCUUGGUUACCUCAUCCCCCCCCUCCCCUCUCUGUCCCCUCUUCAUUCUGAGAUACAGAGUGGUUAUUUCUUACAGUUAUCAUUGUGCUUUCCUCUGAAAGUGUCCCAUGUUCCCAUCUAACGUGAACGGAGGGUCCCGAUAACUAUGUAUUAAGGAAGAAUAUGUUGGUUCCAAGUUAAAGUCUCGCUGAAUAGUAAAGUGUGUACUUUAUAGCAUCGUUUUUAGUUUCUCAGGGACUCUAUUUUUUCUUUUAUGGGUUCUUGACUAUGUUAAAUCAAGAUAGGCCUCUAAGUGAAUAUGAGAAUGCUGGAUAAUUGAGGUAUUAAUGUAUUAUUUUCUCAUGGCAGACAUGAAAACUAAAGAAAUAUAUCUGAUAAAAAUAUUAGAAACUGAAUUAUUUUGUCUACUAGUUGCCCAAGAUUUUACCAUUAAUGUAGGAAAAUCAGAGUUCUCCUUAGAAUCCUGUAAAAUGUGAAAUCUUCUUAGAAAGGAAUUAUGCUUUUGUGUGAUUUGUGUAGCCUGUCACACUGAGAUCAUUCGGUAACCAUAAUACUAGCACAGAGUUGUGUUGAAAUCAAAUGCAGUGAGUGGGUAAGGAAAUGCGCACAUUUGGUUCUGGCAGGUAGUCCUCCUGAGCAGGAUGCGGGGUCCGCACCCCCAGGUGCUGGCCUUCCGGGAGUGGCUCCUGUGAUUCUCAGGGCAACAUGCUGUGGAGCCACCUACUGUGGUUCCAGUUUUGGCAGGCAUAGCCACAUCGGCCCUUUGAUCCUUGGAGUGGCUCCUGCCACUAUGAGUGCCUCUGUUUGUUUUGCCCCUCCCUUUGGUCAUUACUCCCACCUGGCACUAUAGGACCAAAAAAAUGAGUAGUGGGCGGCAGUUGUGAGGGGACACUUCAGGAACAUGACUCUGCCAAGUAUGAAAAGCUGCUUAAACAGUUCUGAUUUUAGAAGCACGUGCAUAGCAUUUCUGCCAACCCAUUAGUGAAUGCAUUUUAUUUUCUAUAUCAUUCAACAAUCUGCUAAAAAUCACUUUCUCCAUUUCUGUUUUCUCAUUAUGUGGGUCCUGGAUCCACCAUAAAGUGCAGCCAGCUACAGGAAUAAAAGGCAGUAGGGCUUGCUGUCUUUUAAUAGUCUUCCUUCAUAAGUAUCUGAGUGUGCUUGGAAACAUUUACCUCAUCCUAUGCCUCGAUAUUUUAAAAUCAAUUCCUCUACUAUAUUUGAAAAUCACCUGUAGUGGCAUAAUUAUAUUGGUCAAUGUUUUUACAUUAUAUGAAUUUUUUUUGAAAAGUUCUAAUAGAUUAUGCAGUAGUCUCUCUAUUCUAAUACAGUAUUUGAUGAAAAAUGUACACAUGACUAUACUCAUUUUAUAUCUGAAAUGGCAGAGACACCGAGGGGCUAAAUUUGUUAUUUAAGACUGUACAGAGUGUUAGUGUCAUUCUACCAAUUUGAUACUGAUGGUAUCAUUCAGAUACUCUGGGAUUUAGGACUUUAACAUAUGCUCUGUGAGUUGAUCAAAAUAUUUGCUCCACAUUACCUUGCUAGUAUCAUUUAGGUAUCAUAGAUAAGAAAACAGAAAUGAGACAAAGGGGGAUAUUAAAUGCCUUGUAGCAAAUCACACAGCAGGGUCACAGGAAAGCUGGUAAGAUCUUGGUCUCCUUCACUCUGUGAACUAGCCACGACUAGUUUUCUGGCAAGAAACAUUUUUCUCCUUCGGGAGUUUCAAUUUUCACAUGUGUGAAGGUUGGAGACUUUCCCUGAGAAAGCAAUGCCUCAAGGGAUAAGGAACUUUUGAGAAAAUUUAAGGUUUUUAACCUCAACCUAGUACAAUCAAAUAUAUUGAUCGCCACUUAACAAUUUCAGAAUAUUAGAGUGCUAAAAUUCUUGUUUAGAUAGAAAUCUAGAUUUGAAACUGGAAAUAAAUUACCUUUCCCCUCCUUCACUAUCUGGUAAUCACUUAGUAAAACAUGUAGGUAUUAGAUAUUUAUAUAUGUAUGUAAAAAUGCAUAAGUUUGGAAACUGUAAAGUAUAUGGAAUUCAUUUGGGAGGUUAUAAAAAAUAGCAUCUACUUUGAAAUGUUUCUGCAAUAACUUCUGCUUGUCAUCAUUUUCAACCAGAUGAUUAAAUUUCCCUAUAUAAGGCUGGAGACUCAGGUAGUUAAUAAGGAAGCAGAGACCCAACCAGGCCAAAAUUUUACUAAGUCGUUGUUACCAAUGCAGGUAUCCCAGGGAAAGAGUACAUGAAGUAGUCUUUCAUAUUUUUACUUUCUACCAAUUAGGAUUUCAAGUUGAGAAAUAAGCAAAUUCUAGAAAGCUCUGACAGCCCAGGAGAUUCCACUCAGGUUAGUGUGGCUCAGGCAGUCCCUAUGCUCAUUAACUGAUCUGCUGAUUUCCCAUCUACUGAUCUCAGCCAGAGACGAUAGAAUAAGGACCAAUAAUGGAGGUCCAGGCAGUCCCUUAUCCCAAAGGAGAAACUUUACAUACACAUUCAAGUAAAUGAGAAUGGCUUUCGUGAAGCCCUUCCAAUGAUUCCUCCACGAAGAAAUACCCCAUCUUACCCAGAACCAUCAUUAAAUGUGUGUUCCACUAAUAUUUGCUCCACACUUUCGGUCAAGAACUGGAAAUGGCUGGACUUAAUCAAGGUCAAGAGAGAAGAAAGUAUGAGGAGAGGGUAUCAGGGUGCUGGAGCUGGAGAAUGCUGAUAGUUAGCUGGUAGUUAAAGUUAGCAGCAUCAGGUUAUCUGAAGAUAGCGUAUGAGUGUACUGAGUAAUGGCUCCCCCAGUGAGUCCCAAAUAAGCUUUUCCAUCUCCAUUAAAUAAAAUGUAAUAUUAAUCACUUGGAAAAGUAAAAUUUUUUUCUAUUAUUAACUGGUAAGUUCCUGUGUCAUCUAUCUCUAUUUUGUCUUUCAGCUCUUUUUUCUUAAACACAACCAUUUCAGCUAUAUUAUUAACAUUCUCAAAGGAAAUUCAACCAGACUACCAAGUCCAAUUUGCUUUAGCUAAAACUUAUUUACAUUUGUUGUCUAAGACAGGCUUAGAUAGUAUAUGUGUCGUUUGGUCUAGAAAUAGUAAAUCUCGGUUGUAUGUGAUAAGUUUUAAUUCUGAGUACUUCAAAUGCCAUAUAUUGUGCACCUAUUCUGAACUAGUUUCUAUACUAUGCAUCUUAUGUACAUUAUCUCCUUUAAUUUUCAAAACAAACCAUUUAGAGAUAAGAAAAUUGAGCCUCAGAGAGCCUAAUUAAUUUGACAGAGGACAUACAGCUAAUAAGUGGCCAAACUAGGAUUUAAACCUAAGCCUUUCAGACUCAAAGUCCUCCUCUCCUCUUUUUAAACCACUAUCUCAUCCCUAAACGUAGAAGGUUCGGCAUUACCUUCUAAGUGUCUGUGCAGUUUUAAUACGGGAAAAGGCGACUGCCAUAACAUGUGCUUCUGUGGGGCUAGGUUUAUCACCUAAAACAUGCCCAACUCAAGCUAGUUGCCAAUUUGUCUCCCAGUACAGUAUACUAGCCUGUUGAUAUGAUAAACACUAUUUUCCCGUCUUAUUUUGUGAGACAUGCCUCUCAUUAGAUAUAGGAAUUCAGCUUAAUUCUCAAAUUAACCUCAAAAUCACCUUAAUUUUGCUAGAUUAAAAGUAAUAACAAAAGCAUUAUGUGUGACUAUGUAACUAUAAAGUAAUGGAACUGAUUUUGGGUGGGUAUUAGUGGCGCUGGUCUCAUUAUUUAGAGUGAAUCCACGUAGUACAUAUCCAGAUUCACCAGUUGUGAGUUUCAUAAUUUAAAUGGAGAUGGUAACAGUGCCUAACUCAUAACUCGUUAUGAGGAUUAAAUGAGAUAAUAUAUGUAAAGUUCUUAGAUCAGUUCCUGGCAUGUAGGAAGCAAUUAUUGAAUGGUAACUGCUAUUAUAUAUGAGCGUUACAGAGAUAAAAAACAAUUACUGACAAGUACUUGGUACAUAGCAGGAGCUCAGUAAAUAUGUAUUGAAUGGAUUAAUAAACUGCAUCAGUUCUUCAAACUGGCUAAGUGUUACUGAUCUAUGGUCAAUGCAGUAUUUUAGCUGCUGCUUCACACUGUUGAAUUUACUAUAAAACAAAAUGUUCAAUGUCGUUAAGAACUCUAUGCAAUUUGCAGGAGCAUUUACUGACUCUGAAAGAGCCUUUUUAGGGGGCUGGGGUAUCAUUUCUUUUCCUCAACAUUUUCACUCUUACUACUGUAUAGCAUGCACUCUCUGGAUGGAUUUAUACAUGUGACCACUAGAUGGAUGUAGAUUUUCCCCUUCCGAUAAUAGAUAUGAUAUAUCUUAUAGUACAAUGAAAACAGAAACUCUACAAGUAUGUACAUAGGAAAAGAAGAUACAUGGACUGGGAAAAGCAAAAAGGCAGCAUGUGGCAUGAAGCUUCCUGUUUGCCUGAGACAACUGAAACACAUUGAAAGCAAGAAAGACCUUUAUUGUCACUAUUUGUACCAGUUCAGGGAAUGCUGCAUACUUUUCUGAUGAUGUCAAGAUGUUAUAGUUUGGGGGAGCCUUUUUUUCUUAGGAAAUUUAUCUUUAAAUCUCAAAAUGUUUACCAUUAUGGAUCUGAAAUUAUCGUGCUUUAAAUACCAUAGUUCCUAACUGAUUAGAUUAGCAAUCUAAUUUUAGUAAGAGUUUUAGAAAGGGUUCAAAGGUUUGCCCCUCCCUAGAGUAUUCUUCCCACCAAUGAUAUUCCUACUCUACCUUUAGAAAGAGCCCACGAGUCACUUUUAGGAGCCCUGCCUUGUACUAUUAUGCAUGUCUGUGUGUAUUAUGGUUGUCUGUUUAGAUGUACAUUUUCCCUAUUAGAGUCUAGUGACCAAACUCUGAGCUGCUUGAAGACAAGGGCUGUGCUUUAUUUAUCUCUGGAUCCCUAGUAUUAUUCAGUUCCUAAGACAGAGUAGGUGUUCAAUAAAUAUGUAUCCAAUAAACUAAUGAACUUGCAGUCACACACACAUGAUAUAAGAUCAGAGAUGUGAAUAAAAUGUCCUAUGUCUGCAUGUUCCUCAAGUGCUUGUGAACCUUCUAACACUGCUUAUGAACAAGUUGAUCAGCUUCUGAGUACUCUAGUCACUUUGAGGGAAAUUUUCUGAUCUUUGAAAAAAAUUUUUUUUUUACCUGUUCAUAUUCUUUGCUUUUACUCUGAGCGUCACUUCUGCACUUGGACUCAAGCGUGCUGUCACGUGCUGAUUACUUGGUUGAACCACACAGACAGUGGUAUGAAUUUUUAUUUUUGUUUGCAUGCUACCUGUGGCUUUGUUCAAGCACAUUAUCUGUAUGUUAAAAAAGAAAAUACAUGGAUUGUGUCAGGUAACUGGAAAAGUCUUACUUUCAAAAAAAUUCUCAGCAUUUAAUACAGUGCUUGGCAUAUAGUUGGGAUUCAAUAAAUGUUUGUGGAAUGCAUGAAUAAAUCAGCCAUUACUGUUAACUGUUUUGAGGAUGAAGUAUGAAAUUUUUUGAAAAAAACUACUAAAUGAAAUGCCUAGCAUCAGGCGGCAGGAUAAGAGUAAAUCUGACACUUGUAGUCUUCACCUCUUUGUUAUACGGGCUCACGGAAAAGUGCCCUAUACAUCUGAUUUCUCAACUUCACCCUGCAGUAAAGUUUUGCAAUCUGGAGGCUGGAGCUCUCUUUUGUAAAUGUUGUCUGCCCGAUGACUGUGUUGGCACCGAGGAGGCCUUAGCAGAUAAAGUGGAGGAACAUAUGGCUCCCAUCUGAAUACAAAUUGGUGGACAUAACGCGGUAAUUCAGCUGAGAUGUCCUCUAUAUUGUAAACUGAAAGAGUAUGAUUAGAGGUGUUUAUAAACGGCGUCUGAAUUCCCUCCACAUCCCUCCCCACCCCUUUUCCACUAUAGUUUUAUCGGCCUGAAUCACAGCCAUCUAGCGUCCUAGCUUCACUGCGUUAUUUGUUAAAAUGGCCAGCGUGAGGAAUUAUUAAUUAAAGCUAACAAAUCACCCUGACGAGCUGUGCCCUGGCAUGGCUGAAGGUUGAUUGGCGAAAGUGUUCUCCUUUGGAGAAAAGACUUUUUGUGCUCGUGACGCAGUCAGGGACGGAUUAUUGAAUAUGCAAGUUAGAAGAAAAAUCACAGGACAAGCAAAUUGAGUAUUUACUGGCAAAUAAUUGCUCCCUUAAGCUGUGGCUCUCUUCCUAAAUUCUUAACAUUCCCGAGGGUUAGAAAGAAACACAGAAAAAUGCAUCGGUACAGAGUACAUUUCAAAAAAAAUACAUAGACUGAUGUUUCAGACUUGUGCAGAAAGUUUCAUCAUCACUAACUGGAUAUUCCUCACGACGUUACUGUCUGCAGUGGCUGGCACUUUUCCUCCACGUUUUGAGAGAAAGAGAAUUGGCUGGAAUAAAACCUUGCUUUCCAUAUGGUCGACUUGAAAUACAGCAUUGAAAAGUUCCUUGACCAUCAGUCUGUGGCCUGCCUCUUCUCUUUAUGUAAGUAAAAGUGGUUUCUUUACUUUUCAAAAAAUGUCGGAUUUGAUAAAUUUGGGUCUAUAUCGGUAUGUUUUCUGGUUGACUUUGUUGUGGUUUCCAGCACUUCUUCAGUAUGUAUUAGCUUCUUUCGGGUUUGGAGUUGACGCUCUUGGUCGUAGUAGUGGUUGCCGUCCAUGAGGGGGCUGAACAGCCGCCCCAGCCACUGGGCUUAUAUAAAGACUGCCUUUAACUCCGCCGCAGCUGCUGUUUGCAAAAGCCACUGCUCUUCUAAACUGUGGCUUACAUUCUUCAGCCAGACACCAGCAACAGUUGGGGCUUUUGCUCCACUGUCAAUCAAUGGGCAAUUAUUUAUUCUUUAGUUGUACACCCAUCUCUAGGUCCAGUCGUUUUUAAUUUCAACUCCUAGAUCAGAGCUUUCAUUUACUGACAAUAUUUAUAAUAUCCUUUUACUAAGAAGUACAAGACUGAAGUGCAAGACUUCAGCCAUUUAGGCUAACAUUGUGUGUAAAAUUGUAAAGUCCAGAAAAAAAAAAAAGAGAGAGAGAAAUCCAGGAUUACACAUGCCAGGAGGUUUAUAGAAGUUGCUAUUCUUUUUUAGAAAAGAUGGGAAGUCAUUUGGGAAAAAAACUUGAUUUCAGAUGAAAAGAGAGAACAUUUAUUAUUUAAAGCCCAACCCAGGCUGCACUGAGUGGAUUUGGAUAAAUUUUACCUCGAGCUGUUUGAAAGAGAGUCUGGGGCAGUGAACCCAAAUAAUCAAAGUUACUACAUGAGACACCACCCGAGAGAUGCCACAGAUAGUGCAGUCAUCUCAUGUGAUGCAUAAUCAUCAGCAUCCUUCCAGCGGCUUCUCACUCUCCACUGAGCACUGUCCCUUAUUCACAACAUUCUAUGUGACUUCACUGACUCCUUCGCACUCCAAGGUAUUUCUUGUAUUGUAAUCAUUUGCACACAAACGGGGUUCCCAUGACUCUUUUGCUUGUGUGUUGCUCCCAUUAACAUUCCUAGAAGCUAGUUGCAAAUGUAUUUAGGGGAGCAGAAUCUUCCAAAGGAUGCUAAGGCUAAACUCUAAAGUGACAGUUAUUUGACAGAGAAAAGAGAUUGAUUAAAUUCCCCAAAGACUGGUGCUGUGUGUAAUGCAUUUAUACAGCAGGGGUGGGUCCUCCCUGCCCCUGACAAGUCUGGUUACUCCUUAUUCUCGGCGUUGAUAGAGUGGGUCUGUCAAUGCUUUGGAGGGUAUCAAUAUGCAUGCUUGUGGUCACCACUUUAUGUCUCCCGUCCCUACCUCAGUACCUCAGUUACCUAGCACUGCAUAUUUCUAGUCCUCUGACUGGCAAAUCAUUUUUGUUACAGUUCUUUUGUGUAAAAACAGUUCACAUAAUAGCUCUGUGUUAGACAAGGCAUUAAUCCUCGCAUCACCAGGAAUGAGUCAGCACAGUGCACUCCUGCCCGCACGGCUCAGCUAUUAUGACGUCAGCACUGUAGGGCGAGCCUCAGACACAAGCAGUACAGGGGACUGGAGACCUGUGUCACAGAUUAGAAAUUGAGGGGGAGACCUUUGAGAUAAAAAACGUAAUUGAAAGGCUGUCUCUGGCUCACAGGAAAACGUGAAACUGAUUCUAUGCUGCAUCAACCAUCAAUUGGGCAGCUUCUAGAGAGAUCCUAGUUUUUAACCAGAGCUAAGGCUGGGACAAUGACCUGUAAUGGGCUGAUAGCCCCAUUCAUGUACCCACUAACCUUGUCCCACCCCUGGGCCAGGCUUCGUGUUUGCUUGGAUUGUUCCAAAGCCUGAAGCUGCCUUUAUUUCAAGGAUGACAGGGCCUGUGACAGUCUUGAUGUCCUCAAGUGCCCCACAGACACAGCUGAUGCCUUCAGGGGUGGUGCCCCACAUGCUCAUCAAAGGGAAAAUAAAAUUUCCUUGGGAACAGAUCAGAACAUUAUCUUUUCCUGUGCUUCUAGUUCUCGGUGCCUUUCAUGGCCUCCUCCAGACAGGUGCAGAAUCCUGCCCAUUGGACUUCUCUCCUUGGCACUGCAUUUCCUCCCAAGUCCAAACCUGAAUUGGACACAGAUUCAAAUAGGAACUGAGUAGCUUCCAGAUGUUCCCCCUCAAGAGUUUUGCAUUCCAUUGCUCUUUAGCAGAAACAACGAGGAGCCCUCCAUAACUGCUAUGUUGCCUUGAAGCAGGUAACACAGACUUGCCCUAUUUGAGAAACCAGGUUCUUACAAGAACCUCUUACAAGUGAAACCUCUCCAUAAUUCAGUCUCAGAUUCAUUCUCAGAACAAUACCUUUCAGGAUCGAAAACUAAAUGUAGAAAAGGUUGAAAAUUCACUGCCUCAGUGACACUCUCUGUUAACAAGACAUUCCUCCAUCACACCAUCUAUCCUUCACUCUUACUUUAACCCUGUGAUAACCGUCAGAAAGUGCCUUACUGCUGGGAUCUUCUGCCUUCAUUAGAUUGCUAAUAGGCUCCUACCAUGCUUAUAGAAGCUACUACUACUGCUUGGCUUAGUUUUGAAUAGCAUGCAGAGCUCUUUAUUCAGUUUGCAGUCAACAAACAUUUAUGGAAAGCUAGUCAUUACGUUUGGUUCCUGAAACUCCAAGAUAAAUAAGAAAUGCUCCCUGUUGUUAAGAAUCUCACAGUCUGGUUGGAGAGAUAAAUAGUAAAUAAAGACUCUCCCAUGUGAUAGGUGCUGAAAUGGAGGUAUGUACAACAUGUAGCCAGGGGAACGAGGAAAGAGUGCCCACCUGCGUGUGGAGAGGCACCCAAGCUGGGUCUAAUAGUCUGAAGAAUGAAUUGCAGUUUACCAGGUGGAUGUGGGGGAGGGGAAGGAAAAAGGGAAUCAUAAUCAGGAAAAAAGCAAGAGCAUUUACAGUUUCCAAAGUCAGGAGAUGUCAUCAAGCACCAGCCAGAUUCAGAGGACAGUGGUUCAGUGUGGCUGGAGCGUGGUGGUGGAAAGGGAAGCCUGAGGGAUGAGACUGGAAAGUGGGUAGGAGGCAGAUCACGGAGGACCUUGCAUGCUGUGCAAAGGAGUUUGGACUCGAUGCUGCAAGCUUGAGGAAGCUUUGAAGAGUUUUAAGUAGAUUUAUAUUUUAGAAAAAGAGCACGCUGGUGACUGUAGAGAUGGCUGACUGAGAAGAGGGAGCUCAGGUCAAAGGUGAAAACCUAGGGUCUGAACUGUGUAGUGGAGGUGGGCGUGGAGAGGCGAGCUACUUGGUAGUGUUGACAUAAAUAUUGACAUUUGCAUAAUGCCAGCAUAUCUUGGCCCAGGGCCUAAUCCUUGCCUUCUAGGAGAAAGGCUGAUGUGUUGUGUGGGACCAAAUUUCAGGCCAACAUACAUCUUUAUGGGAGCUUCACCAGGACCUCCGUGUGAAUCUGACCUCACUCUGAGAUGCUGCCUACUGGUCUCUAGAGACGUGUAUCUCCUUCUCCCUUAGUGGACUUGCAGAGUGGCAGGCAGAUAAGGAGAAGACAUUCUCAGUGUCCUGCUUUUCUCUUCUUUCACCUGAAAAUGAAACAAUUUCUUAAUAAUGUCCGCCUAAAGUCAAUCACUGCCCCAAUUUCCUAUCAUUUUUCUAUUGCUUUUUCUAAGAAGAAGUUCCAAGCCAUUGAGCUGAACAGCAGCUUAUGCACAGCCGGGUGUUGAAACAAUUCAGUGUAUUCAUUCCUUCUUUCUGAAUUAGAGUUCACCAUAAGUGUGCUUUUCUCUUGUUCACUUUGGGCUGCCAGGACAAUUUAAAGGAAAUUUUCAACAGCUUAUGUUUCAUGUACCACGUUCUCUUUUGCAAAUGGAAGGGUAUGCGUGGGUGUGUUUAAGUCUUCUCUAUAUUACUUUCUGGAGAAAGGUUUAGAAGAUGAGCAAGACAAGGAAUAGGGACCUAUUAGAAGCCCAGGUCCCCCCAGUGACCUGAGAGCAGAACGUAGGCUGGUGAUCAGAUGGUCAAUUAUGUGUUUGUCAAAACACAGUGGGCUGCAUUCCAGACUGCCAGCUUUGGAGGCCCAGCUUCUGCCAACCAAAUGUCAUCUGGGAACAUGCAACACUGGGCACUGUGAAGGAGUUUGAAAUAGACCAUGCCACAGCCAACCUACUGCCAGUCUUAUAGCACCAAUAUGGCAUGCACAGCCGGGCCCCAUGUUUCAGAGCUCAGGAAUUCACUGUACUAAAUUCAAGAGGUCAGAUGGGUUCAUGUUUUCAAAGCCUAUGUUCUCUGCUUUGAACAUUGUGACUUGCUCCUCAGCGAUUUCCAAGUGAUUUUUCCAGUCACAUCUCUGUGGAAACCACUCUUUUUGUGAUGGUUAUGAGAGCCUUGUAAAUGUCCCAGAGGAGAGAAAAAAAUAAACUUGCUCUGACAAUGACUGUGAUUCCGACAGAGGGAUUCCAACUCUUAGGAAAUUACAUUAAAGGUGCAUAGCUUUUAAAAUAUCAGGAACCACCUUGGCAACUUAUAAAAAGCAGAAGGGCUUUGCCUAUUUUAUAAAGUGAUUUGCAUAUACCUGCAUAAAUAAUGUCCCCACCUGUACUUUUAUGCAUUUAGGUUGAAUAAAUUAAAUUCAGUGAUCUUUAAAAUAUUCACUGUCUUUCAUUGCUCAGAUACCAUUUUCAGGACCCUUCCUCCUCAUUUUUUUCCUAUGGUAGUAGUGGCUAUUUUUUCAAUCUUUUGACUCAUUCAGAGAAUCAAAACAUUCUGCAGACCAGUCUAUCACAGCCAGGAGCGUUACGUCCCUCUGCUUGCAUUUCUCUUAGCCUUUCUACCUAUCAGACCAUGAGUUCCAUAUGCUUUUCAUAAAAGAAAGUGGGGGAAUAUAUUACUAAAAGGAAAACACAACACAUGAUAGGAUUAAGCUCCACUGCCUAUAUCUAUAUCCAGACCUGCACCGAUAUGCAUCUCAAGGACACACUUAAAUUAACCUUCUCUUUCUUUGGCCACUGCCACCACCCCUUCAGAAACCAUCCAGUCACUAAGCCAUAUCAAUUGUAACCUGGGCCCUCAAAUCAAAGCCUGGUCAUUAGGCCAGCCUCAAGCACAAUCAUCCCAUAAGAUAUUAUUAAGCACUAACUAUAUGCAAAGAGCCAUCUUUAGUUGGGAGUUAAAACAUAAAUCUAGAUGUUGCCCUUGCUUUCUCUUAAGCAACUGAAAAUUGCGUUAGGAAAAGAAGUUAUACUGUUGAGUGUUCUGUAUGCAUAUGAGACAAUAAAUGACGAUUCCUAAAGGAAUGAUGGAGACCAGUAAGUGCUAUGGGAUUUCAUUCAUGAAAGAGAGCCUUGAGGACUGGAAAGCUUUAUGUAAAAUGUUAUUUAGCUGGGUCUUGAAAAAUGGCUAGAAUGUAAAAAAGAUGAAGAGUAAAAGAAUAAUAUUCCAAGCAAAAGCAGAGCCUAAGUGCUGGAAUCUUUGAGGGCGUCCAAUAAUAGUUCUGUUCUUCCCCCACUCAAAUUCUAAACCCAUUGAAAAAUAAGGCAAAAGAACUGAUAGCUGGGGAACCAAAAUUUUUGAUAAAGGCUGGGUUGAAGGAUGUAGUAUGAGAGGUAAGAUGGACUUAACCAAUUCCCUUCCCUCCAAUGUAAACCUUGGAAAAGCUCUCCCAAGGAAAAACUUAGAUCAGCAUAAGCACAGUGCUUUUCCAGGUCACUGACUCCCACUAGUCUAAGUAGGAAAUGAAGGAGAAAGAGGCCAAAAUCCUACACUUACAAACUCUGACAGAUCAAUUCCACCUAACUGAGAAACAUGGACCAAGGGCUGUCUCACCAACAGAAUGAUUCACCUCCUUGGAGAAGUAGAAGUAUAAGGAAUGAGGCAAGAGACAAGGAGUAUUUAAAGAACUUCCCUCUGGAAACUAGAAACGGAAAAGAGGCAUUCCUACCAAUCCUAAGAUCAACAGACUGGAAAACAAGAGGAGGAAGUCCUGAGUGAGAGGAAAAUGGGAGCCAGAGCCAAGAGGCCAAACAAGGCUCUCAUUGGUCUAAGGGACAUCCCUGGUGUUGAAACCAGUAGUCAUAGAAUUAUCAAAGGUCUAAACUGAGGAUUCCUUUUGGACUCGCAAAGUUACUAGAGUCAGAACCCUGAGGAACACGCAAUAAAUGAAGAUAAUAGACUAAAAGUUAGGUAAAAAAGAAAUACAAAAACUCUUAUCUUUUGUUAAGCUAAUAAUAACAAUAAGAAUAACAAUCGC